GUCGGUUAUGGUGACAUGUCGCCAAUAGGCGUGUAUGGUAAGUUAGUCGGAUCACUCUGUGCUAUUGCUGGAGUGUUGACUAUUGCCCUGCCCGUUCCGGUCAUUGUGUCAAAU
rfam:Octopus bimaculoides Scaffold4701_contig_30, whole genome shotgun sequence.